rnacentral:ncRNA from 1 species
AAUAGAAAAUGGCAAAACUUUCGAAAGGAAGUGACGCAAAGCUACGGGCCUAACUCUCUGACACGGUCGCCGGGUUGCCAAU